UAUCGAUUGUUUAGAAUCUGAUCAAUAGGCUUGUUGAGUUCAUCUCUUCAAGAGGCAGUUUCAAGAGCUUGUUCUUGAUUCUGAAGGAUCGUUUUCACCAGUUUGGUGGAUUCAAUAUUGUUCUUCCUUGUUAAUCAAUCAUAUAUAGUUGAUUGCUUAUCAGAAACCUGCGUUCAGGUUGAGGAUGCCGUUACACCACUAUAUCAUGUUUACAAUACGAUUCACUAUAUGUAAAAGUUGAGUAUAAAUCUCUUCCUCCUAUAUGUUCACAUUUCACCACCACCAUUCAUCAUACUACUCAGUAUCUCCUACAUCAUAGUACACAUCUCUGCCUAUCACCAUAUCUUUACAAUUCUCCACCAUUAACCUUUGAUAUCCGAAUAUUCGAAUUGGAUCUCGCUUCAAUGGACUCUCACCUCAACGGCGCCAAUCGUUCUCGCAGCUCUCGGACUCCCUCUUCGACGGCGGAAAUGAUGCUAGACCACCUGUAAUCACCACCUCCAUCUCCAAGGAUGAAUCUGCUGCUAAGCUAGUAACGACAGACAAUUCGCCAGAGUAGCGGGGCCGCGUAGUUUAGACAAUGCAAGACCAUGCUGAUGCUUGGCCUUUCAAAGAGCCAGUUGAUGCUAUCGAUGUCCCUGAUUGCUAUGACAUCAUUAAAGAUCCCGUUGACAGAUACGAAGACAAUUACGAAGAGAGUAGAAUCAGAAUUCAGAAGAGUACUACGUCACGCUUGAUAUGUUUGUCGCUGAUGCGAGACAGAUGUUCAACAACUGUAGAACUUACAACCCUCCGGACACCAUUUAUUAUUACAAAUGUGCAACCAGGUAACAAGGCUUCCUUUAUUUUCUUACCUUUCUUUUCUGCUCUUACGCGUUUAAUUACCAGCAGCUCUCCAGUCUGGUGCUAAAUCUCAACAGAAGGAUGAUAAAAAAGAUGUUGAUACUCGUUGGAACUGAGAUAUUUACCCCAAGUACAAAGUAUAUUCUACCUAUUAGCAUUGUUUGAUCGUUUAUGAUGUAGACUUUUGCAUAUGAAUAUUUUUAGGGGUAUAUUGAUAUAAUUUAGAAGACCCUUUUGAGUAUGGUUGAAUAAGUCUUAGAUAGACCAACGCCAAGUUUUUUUAUAUUUUCUCGUUCGGUGCAUCCAUUCACUUUCUCGCUCUCUCUGUGAUGUCACACUUAUCCUGGUUAGGUAACCUGUC